GGAGUAUGUGAAAGCAUACUCC
rnacentral:misc_RNA from 1 species